CUUCAAUUUGAAUGGGGGGAAAAUCGAGUUGAAGGGAAGGAAAAUGCUGAGAUUAGCUUGAGAAAGUUAUCCAAUUUGAAUGACGUUGUUGUAUCUGAUGACAAAGCACAAAUUUAAGUAAUCAAAUUUGGCAUAUGCAAGAUGAGGAUGCUGGGAGGCCACACAGGAAGUUCCUAUGAGUGUUUUGCAAUUCGUUUGUAAUAAUGGUGGAUGGAAAAA